rnacentral:rRNA from 1 species
UACGAAGGGGGCUAGCGUUGCUCGGAAUCACUGGGCGUAAAGCGCACGUAGGCGGAUUGUUAAGUCAGGGGUGAAAUCCUGGAGCUCAACUCCAGAACUGCCUUUGAUACUGGCGAUCUCGAGUCCGGGAGAGGUGAGUGGAACUGCGAGCGUAGAGGUGAAAUUCGUAGAUAUUCGCAAGAACACCAGUGGCGAAGGCGGCUCACUGGCCCGGUACUGACGCUGAGGUGCGAAAGCGUGGGGAGCAAACAGG